GCAUCGGCUAAUUCCGUGCCAGCAGCCGCGGUAAUACGGAAGAUGCGAGCGUUAUCCGGAUUUAUUGGGUUUAAAGGGAGCGUAGGCGGGAUGUUAAGUCAGCGGUUAAAUGUCGAUGCCCAACAUCGUCAAGCCGUUGAUACUGGUGUCCUUGAAUGCACACAAGGGAGAUGGAAUUCGUCGUGUAGCGGUGAAAUGCUUAGAUAUGACGAAGAACUCCGAUUGCGAAGGCAGUCUCCUGGGGUGUAAUUGACGCUGAGGCUCGAAAGUGCGGGUAUCAAACAGGAUUAGAUACCCUGGUAGUCCGCACAGUAAACGAUGAAUGCUGGUUUUUGGCGAUAUACAGUCAGGAACUGAGGGAAACCAUUAAGCAUUCCACCUGGGGAGUACGCCGGCA
rnacentral:rRNA from 1 species